GUAAAUAUGAGCCUUUAAUUGAUUUUUUAUGUGACAAUCCCACCUGUUUUGCUUGUCGCCUAGUUUUCUCCUUUUAAACACCAUAGGUGAGUCUAGAACCACCUUAAAUAGAGGUUCUAAACACUUCUAGGGCAACAGGUAAGGGACGGGUAAUGCUCACAUAAGACACGUACUAGAUGCUAUUAGAACGCUUAGGUAAUAAUAAAGGGGAGGGUAAUCGGGUAGUAAAGGAUAUGAUGCAUGUGCCCUAAUGCGAUGUGUAGCACCCCAACUUGGGAAUGAUUAUCAAGUAUUUCACAAAUGUGAUCUUGUAGGCUAAAAAAACCUAGGACUCCUUUACUCCUUGUUUUAAAUGUAAUAUCUAUUUGUCUAAAUUGCUUUAUUUUCUUACAAGACUAAUUCACUUAAAUUGAGUUUGGCCGGGACCCACCAUUAUGG
rnacentral:lncRNA from 1 species